CACGUAGGAGGCGAGCGUUGUCCGGAAUCAUUGGGCGUAAAGAGCGCGCAGGCGGCUUGGCAAGUCGGGUGUGAAAUCCCGGGGCUCAACCCCGUGACUGCAUCCGAUACUGUCAGGCUAGAGGUAGGUAGGGGAGAUCGGAAUUCCUGGUGUAGCGGUGAAAUGCGCAGAUAUCAGGAGGAACACCGGUGGCGAAGGCGGCCUGCUGGGCUGUUGCUGACGCUGAGGCGCGACAGCGUGGGGGAGCAAACAGG
rnacentral:rRNA from 1 species